GACGAACGCUGGCGGCGUGCCUAAUACAUGCAAGUUGAGCGCUGAAGGUUGGUACUUGUACCGACUGGAUGAGCAGCGAACGGGUGAGUAACGCGUGGGGAAUCUGCCUUUGAGCGGGGGACAACAUUUGGAAACGAAUGCUAAUACCGCAUAAAAACUUUAAACACAAGUUUUAAGUUUGAAAGAUGCAAUUGCAUCACUCAAAGAUGAUCCCGCGUUGUAUUAGCUAGUUGGUGAGGUAAAGGCUCACCAAGGCGAUGAUACAUAGCCGACCUGAGAGGGUGAUCGGCCACAUUGGGACUGAGACACGGCCCAAACUCCUACGGGAGGCAGCAGUAGGGAAUCUUCGGCAAUGGACGAAAGUCUGACCGAGCAACGCCGCGUGAGUGAAGAAGGUUUUCGGAUCGUAAAACUCUGUUGGUAGAGAAGAACGUUGGUGAGAGUGGAAAGCUCAUCAAGUGACGGUAACUACCCAGAAAGGGACGGCUAACCACGUG
rnacentral:rRNA from 1 species